rnacentral:rRNA from 1 species
GACGAACCGUGCGAACGUUAUUCGGAAUCACUGGGCUUAAAGGGCGCGUAGGCGGGCUCGCCAGUCAGGGGUGAAAGCCUCCAGCUUAACUGGAGAAGUGCCUUUGAUACUGCGAGCCUCGAGGGAGGUAGGGGCGUGCGGAACUUCCGGUGGAGCGGUGAAAUGCGUAGAUAUCGGAAGGAACACCGGUGGCGAAAGCGGCGCGCUGGACCUCUUCUGACGCUGAGGCGCGAAAGCCAGGGGAGCAAACGGG